rnacentral:tRNA from 3 species
CGGGAUGUAGCGCAGCCUGGUAGCGCACUUGCUUCGGGAGCAAGGGGCCGCUGGUUCAAAUCCAGUCAUCCCGACCA